UAGGGAAUAUUGGUCAAUGGGCGAAAGCCUGAACCAGCAACGCCGCGUGUGCGAUGAAGGCCUUCGGGUCGUAAAGCACUUUUCUGGGAGAUGAGAAAGGACAGUAUCCCAGGAAUAAGUCUCGGCUAACUACGUGCCAGCAGCCGCGGUAAAACGUAGGAGGCGAGCGUUAUCCGGAUUCACUGGGCGUAAAGCGCGUGCAGGUGGCUUGGUAAGUUAGGCGUGAAAUCUCCCGGCUCAACUGGGAGAGGUCGUCUAAUACUACCGGGCUUGAGAGCAGAAGAGGAAGAUGGAAUUCCCGGUGUAGUGGUGAAAUGCGUAGAUAUCGGGAGGAACACCAGUGGCGAAGGCGAUCUUCUGGUCUGUUUCUGACACUCAGACGCGACAGCUAGGGUAGUAAACGGGAUUAGAGACCCCGGUAAUCCUAGCCGUAAACGAUAGUAAACUUGGCGUUGGUGGGUUAAACUCCAUCAGUGCCGCAGCAAACGCGAUAA
rnacentral:rRNA from 1 species